rnacentral:rRNA from 1 species
UUUCGAAUCAUUCACAAUGGGCGAAAGCCUGAUGGUGCGACGCCGCGUGAGGGAUGAAGGUCUUCGGAUUGUAAACCUCUGUCACCGGGGAAGAAACGCUUUGAGUUAAUAGUUCAAAGCCUGACUUAACCCGGAGAGGAAGCAGUGGCUAACUCUGUGCCAGCAGCCGCGGUAAUACAGAGACUGCAAGCGUUAUUCGGAUUCACUGGGCGUAAAGGGUGCGCAGGCGGCCAAGUGUGUGAGGUGUGAAAGCCCGGGGCUUAACUCCGGAAUUGCACCUCAAACUACUUGGCUAGAGCAUUGGAGAGGGUAGCAGAAUUCAUGGUGUAGCAGUGAAAUGCGUAGAUAUCAUGAGGAAUACCAGAGGCGAAGGCGGCUACCUGGACAAUUGCUGACGCUC